GAUGUAGAGUCAGUGUUUGUUCGUAAUAUUUUUGAUUUAUAUCUAAAUAAGCUUAUUAAAUAAAAUUAAAUUCAAUAUAUAAAUUCGCGAAUUAAAAUCAGUGUUAGUGCAUAUUCAUCGUCUUGGGGCAGGACGCUCAUCGUGCAAGGACCAACAACGGCUCUGGCUCAAGUAAAAGAAGAAUCAUCGUCUUCCUGGGGCAGGAUGCUCAUCGUGCAAAGGAUCCACAAAGACUCCAGAUCAUUGCAAUCGUGCGCGUGGCAAUUGAUGGAGUAUUGUAUCGUUUAAAUAAAAUCAAAAUCGCGAAUUAGAAGCACGUUCGUUCGUCAAUUUAAAUACAUACGCGUCUCGCGACUUCAAUUUUAGAAACAUUUGUACUUAAAAUUGAUUGCGUGCAAAGCAAUCAAUCAUAGAUUUUAGGGCUUGUUCGUAAAAAGUAUUUCUUUUCAAACAGUCGCACAGACUGUUCGCGUUUAGA